UGGGGAAUAUUGCACAAUGGGGGAAACCCUGAUGCAGCGACGCCGCGUGAGUGAAGAAGUAUUUCGGUAUGUAAAGCUCUAUCAGCAGGGAAGAAAAGGAACUUCGGUUCCCAUGACGGUACCUGACUAAGAAGCCCCGGCUAACUACGUGCCAGCAGCCGCGGUAAUACGUAGGGGGCAAGCGUUAUCCGGAUUUACUGGGUGUAAAGGGAGCGUAGGUGGCAUGAUAAGUCAGAUGUGAAAGCCCGGGGCUCAACCCCGGGACUGCAUUUGAAACUAUCAGGCUGGAGUGCAGGAGAGGCAAGUGGAAUUCCUAGUGUAGCGGUGAAAUGCGUAGAUAUUAGGAGGAACACCAGUGGCGAAGGCGGCUUGCUGGACUGUAACUGACACUGAGGCUCGAAAGCGUGGGGAGCAAACAGG
rnacentral:rRNA from 1 species